CCUACGGGAGGCAGCAGUGGGGAAUAUUGGGCAAUGGGCGCAAGCCUGACCCAGCAACGCCGCGUGAAGGAAGAAGGCUUUCGGGUUGUAAACUUCUUUUCUCAGGGACGAAGCAAGUGACGGUACCUGAGGAAUAAGCCACGGCUAACUACGUGCCAGCAGCCGCGGUAAUAGGUAGGUGGCAAGCGUUAUCCGGAUUUACUAGGUGUAAAGGGCGUGUAGGCGGGAAAGCAAGUCAGAUGUGAAAACCAUGGGCUCAACCUGUGGCCUGCAUUUGAAACUGUUUUUCUUGAGUGCUGGAGAGGCAGACGGAAUUCCUAGUGUAGCGGUGAAAUGCGUAGAUAUUAGGAGGAACACCAGUGGCGAAGGCGGUCUGCUGGACAGCAACUGACGCUGAGGCGCGAAAGCGUGGGGAGCAAACAGGAUUAGAUACCCGGGUAGUC
rnacentral:rRNA from 1 species